rnacentral:lncRNA from 1 species
GGAGCAGAUCGAGUUCUUGCUUGUGAUCUUCCUUCUGGGAAAUCGAUGGGCUAUUUUGACAUUUCAGUUGAUCAUGUUCAUGGUCAGCCCGUCAUACUUGAUUACCUUGCUAGCAAGAGAAAGUAAAAUUUAUUUCUACCUCAGUAAGUUUUUAUUAUGUUAGUUAUCAUGCUUUAUUAUUGUAAAUAUUUGAAUACCAUUAUUUUGUGGAUUCUUGUAAUGAAUUGAUGAGACAGACACCUGCAGAUGUCCUUAGUCAUAACAAGCUGUUUUUAAUUCGUUUUUCGCAAGACACUGAGCCAAAUGUAAUCUGCAAUUGUUCAUUUGGUGUUUUUUUUUUUUUUUUU